rnacentral:rRNA from 1 species
UACGUAGGGUGCGAGCGUUAAUCGAAAUUACUGGGCGUAAAGCGUGCGCAGGCGGUUCUCCAAGUCCGUUGUGAAAGCCCCGGGCUCAACCUGGGAAUGGCAGUGGAAACUAGGGGACUGGAAUCUGGCAGAGGGGGGUGGAAUGCCGCGUGUAGCAGUGAAAUGCGUAGAGAUGCGGCGGAACACCGAUGGCGAAGGCAGCCCCCUGGGCUAGCACUGACGCUCAGGCACGAAAGCGUGGGGAGCAAACAGG